GACAGAGGGUGCAAACGUUGUUCGGAAUUACUGGGCGUAAAGCGCGUGUAGGCUGCUUGGAAAGUCGGGUGUGAAAGCCCUGAGCUCAACUCAGGAAGUGCACUCGAAACUUCCGAGCUCGAGUCCUGGAGAGGGUGGCGGAAUUCUCGGUGUAGAGGUGAAAUUCGUAGAUAUCGGGAGGAACACCAGUGGCGAAGGCGGCGACCUGGACAGAUAUUGACGCUGAGGUGCGAAAGCGUGGGGAGCAAACAGG
rnacentral:rRNA from 1 species